UACGGAGGGUGCAAGCGUUAAUCGGAAUUACUGGGCGUAAAGCGCCCGCAGGCGGUCUGUCAAGUCGGAUGUGAAAUCCCCGGGCUCAACCCGGGAACUGCAUUCGAAACUGUCAGACUAGAGUCUUGUAGAGGCGGAUAGAAUUCCAGGUGUAGCGGUGAAAUGCGUAAAGAUCUGGAGGAAUACCGGUGGCGAAGGCGGCCCCCUGGACAAAGACUGACACUCAGG
rnacentral:rRNA from 1 species